GGGCUCUUGUAUCGAAUCUUCUGAUCUUUCUCGCUCAGCGGUAUCCCAUAUGUUGUAGCCUCGCUGCAUUUUUCUUCUUCCGGAAAUUUCCUGAAACUUCUAUGUUAGUGUUUAUGCCUGUGGGUGUUUUGGUGCUGUUUUUAAUAUCAUUCUUUUAUCUUAAAGAUUUCCUAGGAUGUUCUUGUUCUGGAUUUACAUGAUUCGUUUGUCUCUGAUGAGGAUGGAGUUUGAAUAAACUUUCGUUCUUCUGAUAAACAUUUCAUGAAGAAUGUUUUUGGAGACCUGAACUGAAGAGACAUUUUGAAUGAUAAAUACACCCUUUCUUAGGUUUGUGCCUUUUUUUUUUUUUGCUUCCGUUGGGUGCGUCUAUUUUUUUUCCUAUUGGUUUUGGGACACCGGGGCCUAGAUCUCAACCUUUGAAGCAAGACAGAAUUUUCAGCAAACGAAUCCUUGUACGAAAACAAAACAAAAGAACUUAAGUGAACUGGCAAAAUAAAUCAGCAAAUGGGCACAAUUGUGAAGUACGUAAUUGUCAGAAAAUUAAGGCUUUGUUUAAUUUUCUUAUCCCGGGAUCCGGGGUUGGCUACUGAAUCGAAAUGCCUCUGAUGAUGAUUAAAUAAUAACUUUCGUUCUUCCGAGUUGUCCAUGUGGAAAACUAAUGGAGACCUGAACUGAAGAGGCUUCUUGUUAAGUAUUUCCUCCGCCUUCCCCUGAGUUAAGGUGCGGUUCUGCGAAUCAAAUAACAUUGAUGCUAGCUUGGCUUAAGCAGUUUAUAAUUUCAUGUGCUUGGAAAUAUGACGUGGGGGCUUGUUUCUGAAAGCAAGCUGUCUUUUGUCUUCCGUGGCAUCUUUAACUUGUUGCUCUGUUUGAGGAUCUCGUCACCUAGUGCUUAGGAAUCCAAUGGCCAUGAAGAAACUUUCGAUUGACUGAUUUGUCUUGUCCAUGUAGAAAAUUCAAGGGGAGCUGAACUGAAUAAAUAGGCUUUCUGCUCUAUAUUUUCUGACCCUUUUGACUUUGGUCAGUAUGGAUCCUCAAUAAUAUUCGAAGGAAAAAGAGCACAAUUGGGCUGAUGGAUCAUUUCGUUCGUUGGUUGCACUCUUCAAAUGUUUUAGGGGAGCUCAUUUUACCUUUUUCUGCGUUGAACACUUUCAUUUUAAUAUCGCUGUUUUAUUUACCAAAUUUCCCUGAUCCGUCAACUCUUCUCAUUAUUACUUCUAGGGAGUUCAUAUCCAUUUGCAAUGUUUGCGGCCUUAAUAUCUACAAUUUUCCUGAAAUUUAUUCAUGAGUAAUUUUGUUGCUCUAAGAUUCAUUAUUAAUAACAUGUUAUUUUUCAGAUCAGUUCCACCACCUUAUUUGAAAUAAUUUCUCAACUAAAGUACAGUUUUGUACAAAAUGAGAUAUCCAUUCCAUAGCUGCUUGUUUACAGCCGCCCAAUGGAUGAAGAUAGGAGUGAGAAUGAAGAAGAGGAAUUCGAUACUGGACUUCUGUGCUCAUGAGUGUAAAGAAGAAUAACACACAGGUAUAUUCUGAGACUGGAUGACAGGGUCCAGCUGUGUCUGCACUACAAGGGGCCUUUGAUAGGCAUUGCAAUAUGGUUCUUGAGAAUGUCAGCCAAAGCAUUCUUGGGUUCCCAUCUGGUGCCAAAGAUUAGUAAAGGAAAGUAAAGGCACAACCGUCAUUGUUCUGAGGAAACCCCGAGUGCUUGGUCCAUUGACCAUCAAGUUUGCAUCCAUUUAAUAUUAGAUUAAAUUGCUCUUCUAGGUGCUCAUGUUAAUUCUGAGUGAGCCGUAACAUGUGAGCAUUGUAAUUUUCUGAUGUAGGAGUUGUAAAUUUUACACAGCUUCCAUGUAUACUACUUAUUCUUUUGUCCAGCCUUCGACAACAUAGAUAUUUUGAAGGAGUACCCCUGAAGUUGGUGGCCGG